GAUGAACGCUGGCGGCGUGCCUAAUACAUGCAAGUCGAGCGAACAGACGAGGAGCUUGCUCCUCUGACGUUAGCGGCGGACGGGUGAGUAACACGUGGAUAACCUACCUAUAAGACUGGGAUAACUUCGGGAAACCGGAGCUAAUACCGGAUAAUAUAUUGAACCGCAUGGUUCAAUAGUGAAAGACGGUUUUGCUGUCACUUAUAGAUGGAUCCGCGCCGCAUUAGCUAGUUGGUAAGGUAACGGCUUACCAAGGCAACGAUGCGUAGCCGACCUGAGAGGUUGACGGCACCCAUGGGCAUUGAAAACGGGCCCAGCCCCAGAGGGGAGGCAGCAGGGGGUAUUUGCCAGAAAGGGGGGAAACCCGGCAGGGCCAAGCCGGGGGGAGUAAGAAAGUUUUUGGUAUCGAAAAAUCUUUUUAUGGGGAAAAAAAAAUUUUGAAAGAAAAUAGGCACUUUUUCAGGUUACUUAACAAGAAACCCAGGCCAAACUCGGCC
rnacentral:rRNA from 1 species